ensembl:lncRNA
GUGACACCUCAAUGUAGUUUUGACUUGCAGUGCAGUUCCUUACUAAUUAGUAAGGGCUUCCCAGGUGGUUCAGUGGUAAAGAAAAUCCGUCUGCUAACGCAGGAGUCGGAAAAGACCUGGGUUUGAUCCCUGGGCUGGGAAGAUCCCUUGGAGGAGGAAAUCGCAACCCACUCCAGUAUUCUUGCCUGGAACAUCCCAUGAACAGAGGAGCCUGGCAGGCUACAGUCCAUGGGGUCACAAAGACCGGGACACAAAUGAGCCACUGUGAACAUGCACAGCACAGUUAGUGAAGCCGAGUGUCUCUCCACGGACUUUUUCUUUCCUACCUUGAUCACUUGGCUUCUCGCUCCUGCUGGUCCGGCGGCGAGGACUCCUGGUUCUCAUCCGGCUCCCCAGGUCCAGUUCCUGACAGGGAACCACGACUGUCUUCAGGACCGCUCACUGCUCUCUCUGUCCGAGAUCAUGGUCAUCGUUUUCGUCACAGAGACUGGAAAGGGCUCAGCUGCUGCCGCUAGCUUUGUCCUUGAGUGUCUGGGGGACAACAAAGCUUCAGCUUCACUCCACUUGACAGACACCAGCUUCCAGCCCAGAGGCCCCUCCAUCUCCUUCCUCAAAUCCCGCUGAGAGACAAGAACCCCAAACAUCUUCACUGGGAGGCUGAGGGCAAAGGAUCUGUUCUGAGGACUGCCUGGAGUCUCUGCAUCACCAGCAUCUUGAUGUGAAACUGCAGUAAUCUGAAAGAGACAAAUUUAACAAGAGCCACAGACCAGGAAUAUGAUCAAAGUGGAAUAAAGUCCUGAACAUAUCGGAACCUCAGACCAUUUUCCUGUGUCAGUAAAGAUGCCCAGUUUUAGGCAUGUUUUUCCCCCCCGAUCCACCCAUUUAAAUAAAGGCCAGACACUGUCA